AGCAAAGGCUCAGGAUACAAAAUCAAUGUGAAAAAAUCACAAGCAUUCCUAUAUACUGAUAAUAGACAAACAGAGAGCAAAAACAUGAGU